rnacentral:rRNA from 1 species
UACGUAGGGGGCGAGCGUUGUCCGGAUUUAUUGGGCGUAAAGAGCGUGUAGGCGGCCAGGUAGGUCUGCUGUGAAAACUCGAGGCUCAACCUCGAGACGUCGGCGGAAACCAUCUGGCUAGAGUCCGGAAGAGGAGAGUGGAAUUCCUGGUGUAGCGGUGAAAUGCGCAGAUAUCAGGAAGAACACCCUGGCGAAGGCGGCUCUCUGGGCAUGUCCUGACGCUGAGGAGCGAAAGUGUGGGGAGCGAACAGG